GACAUGCUCUAGUUGCUUGCCUGGAGGGCAAAUCCAGCUCAAAUUUACCCCCGUUCAUUGACGGCCUCCGGACGUGGUUUGACGUGCUCCAAGACAUCAGGUGGCGCUAAUGUAAUGCAGUCUUACACCGUCAGCGGUUGAUGAAUAGAAAACACAGCACAUUGUUUACAAAGGUAUCUACUAGGUAGCGUAAACCCGCUAGGCUGAAGCAGACAGACGUUUCAACAUUUCUUUGAUAAAACAAACAGCUAGACUUUUAUUGCCCUCGCCAAUAUGUCCAAACUACAGUUGCUGAAUGUGUUCGUCACCGAGCGUUUGUCGGCUGCUGCUGUGGAGAUAUUCGGGGCCGUAGAGAAGACUAUAGCAGAGUAUCGGGAAGAAAUCUUCCGUUCAGCAGAGGAGAACGAGCGUCUACGGAGGGAGAUGGACAUGAUUAUCAAAUCAGAGAUACAGUUAUACAGAACAGACUUCCAGCAACUCACUCCCUCUGUUCCCCCUGAGCAGCAGAAGUGUGAGCAGGAGUGGAGCCCCAGUCUGGGGCAGGAGGACCCAGAACCCACACAGAUUAAAGAGGAACAUCAGGAGUUCAGACUCAGUCAGGAGGACCCACCUCAGCCCUCACGUCUUUACCAAAACCAAACUGUGGAUGAUGGAGAGAGGAGCGCUCUGCCUAUCAUCAUAACUGAAGAGAUUAAAACAGAACCUGAUGGAGAGGGCUACAGAGUACCACAACCAACCAGUGAUCAGCCCCUCUCAGUUCAUCCAGACUGCUCUGCUACACUGGAAAAACCAUAUUGGUGUCAACAAUGUGGCAAAAGCUUUACACGUAAGGGAAACUUGACCUUGCAUUUAAAGAUACACACAGGAGAGAAACCUUUUCUGUGCAAACAAUGUGGCAAAAGGUUUAACCAGAAGAGCAACUUGACCAUCCAUACAAGGGUACACACAGGAGAGAAUCCCUAUCAGUGCAAACAAUGUGGCAAAAGGUUUAACCAUAAGAGCAACUUGACCAGCCAUACAAGGAUACACAGAGGAGAGAAUCUGUAUCAAUGGAAAGCUAUUUAAGACUUCAUCAGUGUGUUCCCACGGGAGAAAUCUGACCAGUGCAAAUAAUGUGGCAAAAGCUUUGGUUAUAAACAGCCAUACAUCACAUAUGAACACUGACAUUAAAGGGCAUACAUUAUAUUACUGCAGUGAGUACAGCAAAAGCUUCAGCCUCAAGUGAAAGUGAAAACAACAAAUGAUACUUUGUCAUUGUGGAUUACUUCUCACAUCCAACUUGUAAAUUAAUGUUAUGUUCUGUUUUCUGGCACUUGACGACAAAACAAAUUGAGUUGUGAAAAUCAGUCAGUAUUAGGCUUCUUAGCUGAAACUAGCUCUCAAUUUCAGAGACCUACAGUGCAUUCGGAAAGUAUUCAGACCCCUUGACUUUAUCCAUUUUGUUAUGUUACAGCCUUAUUCUAAAAUUGAUUAAAUAGUUUUUUUUCUCUCAUCAAUCUACACACAAUACCCCAUAAUGACAAAGCAAAAACAUUUUUUUUAGAAAUUUUAGCAAAUGGAUCUCUGUGCUUUGCUCCAUUCAGCUUUGCCUCGAUCCUGACUAGUCUCCCGGUCCCUGCAACUGAAAAACAUCCCCACAGCAUUAUUCUGCCACCACCAUGCUACACCGUAGGGAUGGUGCCAGGUUUCCUCCAGAUGUGACGCUUGGCAUUCAGGUCAAAGAUUUCAAUCUUGGUUUCAUCAGACCAGAGAAUCUUGUUUCUCAUGGUCUGAGAGUCUUUUUGGUGCCUUUUGGCAAACUCCAAGCGGGCUGUCAUGUGCCUUUUGCUGAGGCGUCGCAUCCGUCUGGCCACUCUACCAUAAAAGCCUGAUUGGUGGAGUGCUGCAGAGAUGUUUGUCCUUCUGGAAGGUUCUCCCAUCUCCACAGAGUGACUCUGGAGCUCUGUCAGAGUGACCAUCAGGUUCUUGGUCUCCUCCCCCGAUUGUUCAGUUUGGCUGGGUAGCCAGCUCUCGGAAGAGUUUUGGUGGUUCCAAACUUCUUCCAUUUAAGAAUGCUGGAGGCCACUGUGUUGUUGAGGACCUUCAAUGGAGCAGAAAUGUUUUGCUACCCAUCCCCAGAUCUGUGCUUUGACACAAUCCUGUCAGAGCUCUACAGACAAUUCCUUCAACCUCAUGGCUUGGUUUUUGCUUUGACAUGCACUGUCAACUGUGGGACCUUAUAUAGACAUGUGUGUACCUUUCCAAAUCAUGUCCUAUCAAUUGAAUUGUAGAAGUUGUAGAAACAUCAAGGAUGAUCAUUGGAAACAGGAUGCACCUGAUAUCAAUUCCCAGUCUCAUAGCAAAGGGUCUGAAUACUUGUGCUAUUUUUAAUACAUUUGCAAACAUUUUCUAUACUGUUUUUGCUUUGUCAUUAUGGGGUAUUGUGUGUAGAUUGCUGAGAAUUUUUUAUUAUUUAAUCAAUUUUAGAAUAAGUCUGCAAUGUAACAAUGUGUAAAAAGUGAAGGAGGACACUGCUGGCUUCAGGAAGCCCUCACCAUAUCAUUUGAGGAAAAAUGUCUAUGUAUUUGUGUUUUUUGUUUUUAAUGCUUUGGUUGUUUUGUGCAAAGAUUUAAAAAAUGAAAUUAAUUACAAAUAAAGAAACAAUUUUCCUUUCUUUGUCUACAACUAAAGAAAAA